rnacentral:lncRNA from 1 species
AGCAGGAGUCGGAAGUGGCCCAGGCGCAGGAGAGCGCGGAGAAGGGCUGGGCGGCGGCCCGGGAGCCGGACUCGGACCGCGAGGCCCAGAUCGCUGGGCGCUGGAGAACAGGACCCUCUUGGGAGAUGUGCAUAGGAUACGGUAUUCCUGAGCCUCUCAGUUUCUUCCGUUGUAAAAAUGAGACGCCAACCUCGUAGUGUGUUGAGAUGGUUAAAUGGGGCCAUACACAUUUGCACUGUGCCUUGCACUUAACAAGAACGCGUGAAUGUUAGUGUCUGCUGCCAUCAUUAUUGACUAUUAUGAUGAUGAUCCGUGAAAGCCCCUGAAUUCCGCCUGCUCUUUUGCUUUUAAUUUUCUGCGGGCCUUAAGUCUACCCUACGAUAGCUGACGCGCUCCCGAUUCCUGGUUUCCAUUUGCGGAGAAUGCAGGGCUUCCUCUUGGAGUUAAAGACUCAUUGGCUCCUGGAAAGCCCUCGCUCUCUGCCGCCCCCCGCGGACUUAGCUGUGACUGUCCUUGCCUGUGGAGCAGAAGGCUUGCCCUCCUCAGGGGCCACCCGAGACCGCCAGGAUGGAGUAGGAUCUGGACCUUCAGUCUGUUGAGGAGCCCUGGCCCGGGGUAGCCAUUUUCAAGGGCGAGGGACCUUGGUGGGAGUACGAUGAAUCCAUCCAUACAAUAAACAUCCAUUAAGCACCUAGUACAUGGCAGCGGGGGGCAGAGGGCUGGAAAUAUUAAUAAUACUAGUAAAACUUAAUAUGUGUAGGUCACCGUUCUACUCCUUACAACAAUCUAUGAUAUAGAUCCUGUCGCUAUCCCUGUUUUACAAAGGGAAAGGGAGACAUCGUGAAGUAAAUAGCCUUCCCAAAGAAAGUUACACGUUUGGGAAAUGGCUGAGUUUGGCUUGGAGAGAGGAAAGUAAACUCUUGAUAGGUGAAAUAGACAAAAUCACAACACAUUUGGGUUUAAUGCAAAAGAUAGAAACAUACACAAGGUACGGAGGUUUUUAAAAGAGGACCUUGUCCUGUGGUUAUAACUUUGGGGAAGGGCGUCAGGGAGAUCUUCCUGGUGUAGGUGAUGUCUGAGCUGGGUUUGGAAGAAGAAAUGGGAGCUUCAAAGGCAGCUUAUAAGUGAAGAAGAAUCACAGUAAACUUUUUCAAGCCUGAAUAAGGAUGGAGGAGAAGUGGAAUGGUGGCCGGAAUAAAGCUAAAACAGUAAAACAGGACCAAACUCAAGGGCUGUUUUCCUAUAGAAACUAAACAACAUUAAUUUGACCUUUGAUUGGUAGGAAGCCAGAAGGGUUUUAAGCACAGGAGAUAUGUCAGGUGUGGUUCUAGAAAGUUUAAUCUGGAAACAUAGAAGAUCCCAGAACCAAGAAACUUGCUUAGGAAAUAUUGAAAUAUGUCGGUGAGAUACUUCAGUAGGCAGAAUGAGUAGAGUUACAGAAAGAGGUCCACUUCUUAAUCCCUGGAACCUGUAAAUAUGUUAUCUUACAUGGCAAAAGAAUUUUUGCAGGUGUUACCUUCUCAUUCGGUCAUGGGAAAAAAAAGAAUAAAGAAAUUUUGCAGGUGUGAUUAAGAUUGAUGCCAUUGAGAUGGGGGAUUAUCCUGGAUUAUUUCAGUGAGCCCAAUCUAAUCACAUGAAUCCCCUAAAAUGGAAGAAGAGUGGGUCAAAGAGAUUCAAAGUGUGAGAGGGACUCAACCUGAACCACGAACCAAGGACUGUGGAUAACCUCCAGGAGCUGGGAAAGGACCUUAGCUGACAGCCAACAAAAAAUUCACUUUCUUUAUCUGGUCUAGACUUGUUUUUCUUCCACAGUCCUACAACAGCAGAAACUGAAUUCUGCCAAUAACCUAAAUGAGCAAGGAAAUGGAUCCUCCCUUAGAGUCUUCAGAAAGUGAUUGAGCUCUACUGACACCUUAAUUUUAUCCUGGUACUCCAAUGCAGCAAUCCCCAACCCUUUUGGCACCAGGGACUGGUUUCGUGGGAAGACAGUUAUUCCAUGGAGCCAGAUGGUUUCAGGAUGAUUCAAGCGCAUUACACGUAUUGUGCAGUUUAUUAUUACAUUGUAAUAUAUGAUGAAAUAAUUAUACAACUCACCAUGACAUAAAAUCAGUGGGAGUCUUGAGCUUGUUUUCCUACAACUGGAUGGUCCCAUCUGGGGGUGAUGGGAGACAGUGACAGAUCAUCAGGCAUCACUCUCAUAAUGAGCACACAACCUAGAUCCCUUGCAUGCGCAGUUCACAGUAGGGUUCCUGCUCCUAUGAGAAUCGAAUGCCUCCACUGAUCUGACAGGAGGCGGAGCUCAGGUGGUAAUGCAAGCAAUGGGGAGCAGCUAUAAAUACACAUGAAGCUUUGCCCAACACUCACCUCCUGCUGUGCAACCCGGUACCAGUUGUCACCCAUGGGCUGGGGACUCCUGCUCCAAAGGGUAACAUUUUAACAUUCAGCUUAAAUAAAUUUCACCAAAAAUAUCUCAACAAUUCAAAGAGGAGUGUUCCUGACACCAGAUCACUUUAUUCAACAGAGCAGCUCCCAAAGUCAUGAAGUACUACUUGGUUUAAAAAUAAAGCUGUUUUUCCCACGUACACACAUUCAACAAAACUAUCUUUGGUAUUACUUUACUGAGUGAGGUUUAAAGGAGUUUGGGAAAAUAUUACAGCCUUCUUCCUUUU